rnacentral:ncRNA from 1 species
GGGGACCGCUGACACCUCCGCUUCUCCUUGCCGCCCGAUAUAAGCGUCGGGGGAAGG